CUGUCAUCAAGAAAGGUGGAGGGAAAGGCCCUGCGAAACCUUGGCAACCGCUCAAAUAAAAAUGUGAGUUGGUGCUAAUUCCUACCCGGUGUAAACUACCAGCGGGAUAGAUGACGG
rnacentral:ncRNA from 2 species